GUGGGGAAUCUUGCGCAAUGGGCGAAAGCCUGACGCAGCGACGCCGCGUGGGGGACGAAGGCCCUCGGGUUGUAAACCCCUUUCGGCAGGGACGAAGCGGUUCCGUGACGGUACCUGCAGAAGAAGCCUCGGCUAACUACGUGCCAGCAGCCGCGGUAAGACGUAGGAGGCGAGCGUUGUCCGGAUUCAUUGGGCGUAAAGAGCACGCAGGCGGUUUGGCAAGUCGGAUGUGAAAACCAGAAGCUCAACUUCUGGCCUGCAUCCGAAACUGCCCGACUAGAGGUAGGUAGGGGAGAUCGGAAUUCCUGGUGUAGCGGUGAAAUGCGCAGAUAUCAGGAGGAACACCGGUGGCGAAGGCGGAUCUCUGGGCCUUACCUGACGCUCAGGUGCGAAAGCUAGGGGAGCAAACAGGAUUAGAUACCCGGGUAGUCC
rnacentral:rRNA from 1 species